UCUGCUCCUAAAGUGUCACAGGCGUGGAUGCUUUGUCACGUGUGUGUCACUCGAUGCCAGUGAGGAGAGAGGCUGUGUCGAUGCUCAGUGUUCUAACAUAUGAACAUCUGAAUGGUUAGUAGCCUAACAUA
rnacentral:snoRNA from 1 species